CCCUGUGAACAUACCUAAAACGUUGCUUCGGCGGGAACAGACGGCCCUGUAACAACGGGCCGCCCCCGCCAGAGGACCCCUAACUCUGUUUUUAUAAUGUUUUUCUGAGUAAACAAGCAAAUAAAUUAAAACUUUCAACAACGGAUCUCUUGGCUCUGGCAUCGAUGAAGAACGCAGCGAAAUGCGAUAAGUAAUGUGAAUUGCAGAAUUCAGUGAAUCAUCGAAUCUUUGAACGCACAUUGCGCCCGCCAGUAUUCUGGCGGGCAUGCCUGUUCGAGCGUCAUUACAACCCUCAGGCCCCCGGGCCUGGCGUUGGGGAUCGGCGGAAGCCCCCUGUGGGCACACGCCGUCCCUCAAAUACAGUGGCGGUCCCGCCGCAGCUUCCAUUGCGUAGUAGCUAACACCUCGCAACUGGAGAGCGGCGCGGCCAUGCCGUAAAACACCCAACUUCUGAAUGUUGACCUCGAAUCAGGUAGGAAUACCCGCUGAACUUAAGCAUAUCAAUAAGCGGAGGAA
rnacentral:rRNA from 1 species